rnacentral:rRNA from 1 species
UACGGAGGGGGCUAGCGUUAUUCGGAAUUACUGGGUGUAAAGGGCGUGUAGGCGGGAUUGCAAGUCAGAUGUGAAAUUCUUGAGCUUAACUCAAGCGCUGCAUCUGAAACUGUGAUUCUUGAGUGCUGGAGAGGAUAGUGGAAUUCCUAGUGUAGCGGUGAAAUGCGUAGAUAUUAGGAGGAACACCAGUGGCGAAGGCGGCUAUCUGGACAGUAACUGACGCUGAGGCGCGAAAGCGUGGGGAGCGAACAGG